rnacentral:rRNA from 1 species
AACGAACGCUGGCGGCAUGCCUAACACAUGCAAGUCGAACGGACCUUUCGGGGUCAGUGUCUGACGGGGUAGUAACACGGUGAGACGUACCUUUAGGUUCUGAAUAGCUCCUUGGAACGGGUGGUAAUACCGGAUUUGCACUUCGGAGGAGAGAUGUGUCGGCUUUAGCGCGGGCCGCGUCGGAUUUGGUAGUGGGUGAGGUAAUGGCUCACCAAGGCGGCGGGCAAGAGCUGGGCUGAGAGGAUGACCAGCCAAGACGGGACUUGGACCCGGACCAAACUCCUACGCGAGGGAGCAGUGGGGAAUCUUGCGCAAUGGGGCAAGGCCCGACGAAGCCAUGCCGCGUGGAUGAUGAAGGCCCUAGGGUUGCAAAGCUCUCUCAGCGGUGAAGAUAGUGACGGUAACUGGAGAAGAAGCACCGGCUAACUUCGUGCCAGCCGCCGCCGUAAUAC